rnacentral:rRNA from 1 species
CUCCUACGGGAGGCAGCAGUAAGGAAUAUUGGUCAAUGGACGAAAGUCUGAACCAGCCAUGCCGCGUGAAGGAUUAAGGCCCUCUGGGUUGUAAACUUCUUUUAUCUGGGACGAAAAAAGGGUAUUCUUACUCACUUGACGGUACCAGAGGAAUAAGCACCGGCUAACUCCGUGCCAGCGCCGCGGUAA